UUAGCAUAUCAAUAAGCGGAGGAAAAGAAACCAACAGGGAUUGCCCUAGUAACGGCGAGUGAAGCGGCAACAGCUCAAAUUUGAAAUCUGGCCUCCUUUGGGGGUCCGAGUUGUAAUUUGCAGAGGGCGCUUUGGCGUCGGUAGCGGUCUAAGUUCCUUGGAACAGGACGUCACAGAGGGUGAGAAUCCCGUACGUGGUCGCCUACCUUCGCCGUGUAAAGCCCCUUCGACGAGUCGAGUUGUUUGGGAAUGCAGCUCUAAAUGGGAGGUAAAUUUCUUCUAAAGCUAAAUACUGGCCAGAGACCGAUAGCGCACAAGUAGAGUGAUCGAAAGAUGAAAAGCACUUUGGAAAGAGAGUCAAACAGCACGUGAAAUUGUUGAAAGGGAAGCGCUUGCCGCCAGACGUGCCCGUGGUGGUUUUCCUCCGCGGGCAGGCCAGCAUCAGUUUGGGCGAUCGGAGAAGGGCCUCUGUCAUGUAUCUUCCUUCGGGAUGACCUUAUAGGGGAGGCGUAGUACGAUCAGCCCGGACUGAGGUCCGCGCAUCUGCUAGGAUGCUGGCGUAAUGGCUGUAAGCGGCCCGUCUUGAAACACGGACCAAGGAGUCUAACAUCUAUGCGAGUGUUUGGGUGUCAAGCCCGAGCGCGCAAUGAAAGUGAACGGAGGUGGGAACCCUCUCUGGGGGUGCACCAUCGACCGAUCCUGAAGUCUUCGGAUGGAUUUGAGUAAGAGCAUAGCUGUUGGGACCCGAAAGAUGGUGAACUAUGCUUGAAUAGGGUGAAGCCAGAGGAAACUCUGGUGGAGGCUCGCAGCGGUUCUGACGUGCAAAUCGAUCGUCAAAUUUGGGCAUAGGGGCGAAAGACUAAUCGAACUAUCUAGUAGCUGGUUCUGCCGAGUUUUUCCCUCAGGAAA
rnacentral:rRNA from 1 species